rnacentral:SRP_RNA from 1 species
ACUUGGGGCAGUGGUGUGCACCUGUGGUCCCAGCUCUGUGGGAGGCUGAGUGGGGAGGACUGUUUGAGCCUAGGAGUUCUGGGCUGUAGUGCGCUAUGUCCAUUGGAUGUCCACACUAAAUUCAGCAUCAAUAUGGUGACCUCCUAUGAGCAGAGACUACCCAGUUGCCUAAGGUGUGCUGAACCAGCCCAAGUUGCAGACAGAGCAGGUUAAAACUCUUGUGCUGAUCAGUAGUGGGACUGAAUCUGUGUGACUAGCCACUGCACUCUAGCUGGGCAACAUAGUAAAACCCUGUCUCU